UACGUAGGGGGGCUAGCGUUGUCCGGAAUCAUUGGGCGUAAAGAGCGUGUAGGCGGCUCGGUAAGUCCGCUGUGAAAGUCCAGGGCUCAACCCUGGAAUGCCAGUGGAAACUGUCGAGCUAGAGUCCGGAAGAGGCGAGUGGAAUUCCUGGUGUAGCGGUGAAAUGCGCAGAUAUCAGGAGGAACACCAAUGGCGAAGGCAGCUCGCUGGGACGGUACUGACGCUGAGACGCGAAAGCGUGGGGAGCAAACAGG
rnacentral:rRNA from 1 species